GCGUAGUUAAUACCGCUUAAUGUUGCAAGACCAAAAUGAAGGACCUUGGGGCCUCAUGCCAUCAGAUGUGCCCAGAUGGGAUUAGCUAGUAGGUGGGGUAAUGGCUCACCUAGGCGACGAUCCCUAGCUGGUUUGAGAGGAUGACCAGCCACACUGGAACUGAGACACGGUCCAGACUCCUAGGGGAGGCAGCAGUGGGGAAUAUUGCACAAUGGGCGCAAGCCUGAUGCAGCCAUGCCGCGUGUGUGAAGAAGGCCUUCGGGUGUAAAGCACUAUCAGCGGGGAGGAAGGCGAUAAGGUAAUAACCUUGGCGAUUGACGUACCCGCAG
rnacentral:rRNA from 1 species